CCCCGGCAGCGCGAUGGCAAUGGUUCAGUCACAACCGUGGCGGUGGUGGCCUCCUCAUCUUGGUUCGGUGAAGCGGCUCUACCUUGAUUCAAUGCUGGAAUCUAUGCACGCCCCAGCAUGUGUUAACGGGCCGUGGCCCUCACAUCUCGGUGUGGCAUGGUGGGGCUGUGACUGAACCGUCACCACAUUGCACUUUUCAGUGUUGGUGCCGAUGUCGGCAGGAGGGUGGUGGCAGCUUCCUAACGUCAUGUUCGGCUACUAUGGCUCGGUCGACUACCUCCUCCUUGGCCACUACUCAGCUUCCCCCAGCACGAUGAUAGUGGUCCGAUCACAACCAUGGUGGCGGUGGCCACCUUAUCCUUGAUUCUGACAUCAACCAUGUGAAGAACCGACGAUGCAGAUGACCUCGGGAUCCUGUUUACGGGAUGAACCUACCUAGAGGCGCUGCAUCUACAAGACAUCGACGGGCAAGUCUGAGGUUCUUCUUGAGCACAUGAAUCUUUUAUUGUCUUGUUUUUUAUCUCUAUUUUCAGUCACUAUAAGUUUGUAGUGAUGGUUGUCGAGUUUAACUAUCCUCUUACAAGUUCCUCUAAUUUGCGGAAGAGGCUGAAAAUCUCGGGAGACCAUGUGUGGUCAUCAGCUUCAUCUCUUGUUCCUACGAGAUGGGAGUUAAAUAAUGACACACGAUUCCACCAUGCCCAAUGCAUCCUUCAAAAUCUAUUAGCAAGAAUUGAGAAACAAACAAUUCCCAACUUAACUUAAAAUGUGAUAAUAUUUCCCGAAAAACAAAAUAAACCACGUUCCAAUGGCUUCAAGUUUUAGUAACCAAUAUCUAAUAGCGGAUAUGAAUCAUGUAACAUUGAUGAAAUUCAGAAGCGCAAGUCUUUCUUUCGUGCUAUUGUUAUGCAUGUUUUCGCCAUCGAUGUCCAACUAGAAUUUUCUACAUCUAGAUUUGUUAGUGAACCGUUGAACUGCAAAUAUUCGUGUAAUCAUGUUUUGUACUAGUGAAGGCAGUGACGAGUUGCAAAGAAUGUUGUCGAUGUCGCCGGUAGCAUAGUAUUUGGUGUUGGUAGUAUCAGCCAGCAUUUGGCAUCAUUCUUAGAAUUUCUAGUGUCUUAUUGGAUCCAGUCACUAUAUAAAACAUGUAGUUUGUGAAGCUGCUUUGGUUUCUGUGUAUAUAUGCACUGCAGUUUGCUCUACAGGAGGACUAGAGAGAAAGAGGAUGUUUGGAAAUCUCAGGACAAGGCCCUGUUUAUUUUUCGGUCAGUUUUUAUCAAGUGGGGGCCAAUGUUGGUCUCGUGUCGGAGAGACACACUCAGGGAUUGAAGCGGCUCUAUCUAGAUUCAACGCAUGAAUCUGCCUGCACCCCAGCAUGCGCCGAUGAGCCGUUGCCCCACACCUCGUAGUGGUGUGGGGUGGUGGUAACCGUAUGGCAACAUCAGUGUCGUAACCUCUAUGUGAGGCAACUACGACUCGGUAGACUACCUCCUCCAUGCCCACUACCACGUCUCCCACUGCAGUGCGAUGGCAAUGUUUCGAUCACAACCGUGGCGGUGGUGGCUGCCUCGUCUUGGUUCAGUGAAGUGGCUCUAUCUAGAUUCAAUGCUGGAAUGCCUACACGCCCCAGCAUGUGCCAAUGAGCUGUGGCUCUUGCACCUCGGUGUGAGAUGGUGGGGUGGUGACUGAACUGUCACCGCCGUGCACUUUCGGUGUUCGCAUCGAUGCCGGCAGGAUGGCGGUGGUAGGGCCCUAACAUCCAUGUACAGCUCGACGGACUACCUUCUCCUUGGCCACUACCUUGGUUUCGCCCGCAGCCAUUGGCACUGGUGCGGCCACAACUGUGGCGGUGGUGGCUGCCUCGUCCUCUGUUCUGUGAAGCGGCUCUACCUUGAUUCAAUGCUGGAAUUUAUGCGCGCCCAACAUGUGGCAACGAGCUGGGACCCUCACGUCUAAGUGUAGCAUGUUUGGUUGUCACCGAACUGUCACCACUAUGCGCUUUCAGUGUUGGCACCAAUGUUGGCAGGAGGGCGGUGGUAGCUUGCUAACGUCCAUAUUCGGUUACUAUAGCUCGGUGGAUUACCUCCUCCUUGGCCACUACCUCAGCUUCCCCCAGCAUGAUGAUAGUGGCCAGGUCACAACCAUGGCGGUGGUGGCUUCCUUGUCCUUGGUUAUUACUUCACCCUUGUGAAGAACCGAUGAUGCAGAUGGCUUGGGGAUCCUAUUUACAGGAUGAACCUAACUGGAGGUGCUGGAUCCACAUGACAUUGACAGGAAAGUCUGAGGUUCUUCUUCAGCACAUGAAUCUUUUAGUGUCUUGCUUUGUUUUUUAGUCGCUAUAAGUUUGCAGUGAUGGUUGCCAAGUUUAACUAUCCUCUUGCAAGUUCCUCUGAUUCGCGGAAGAGGCUGAAAAUCUCAGGAGACCAUGUAUUGUCACCAGCUUCAUCUUUUGUUCCUACGAGAUGGGAGUUAAAUAACGACACAAGAUUCCACCAUGCCCAAUGCAUCCUUCUCAAUCUGUUAGCAAGAAUUGGGAAAUAAACAAUUCCCAAUUUAGCUUAAAAUGUGAUAAUAUUUCCCGAAAAACAAAAUAAACCAGUUUCCCAAGGCUUCCAGUUUUAGUAACCAAUAUCUAAUAGACAAUAUGAAUCGUGUAACAUUUGGAUGAAAUUCAAAAGUGCAAGUCUGUCUUUCCUGCUAUUGUUAUGCUUAUUGCGGCCAUCGACGUCCAACUGAAAUCAACACCAGUUGGACUCAUCACUCCAAACUUUUCCACAUCUAGAUGUGUCAGUAAACCAUUGAACUACAAAUUUUCGUGUAAUCAUGUUUCGUAAUGGUGAAGGUAGUGGCGAUUUGCUAAGCAUGUUGUUGUCGUCGUAGGUAGCAUACUACUUGGUGCUGGUAGUAUCGGUCAACAUUUGGCGUCAUCUCUGAGAAUUUGUAGCGUCUUAUUGGAUCGAGUCACUAUAUAAAACAUUUAGUUCGUGAAGUGGCUUUGGUUUCUGAGUAUAUAUGCAUUGCAUUUUCCUCUUCAGCAGGACUGGAGAGAAGGAGGUUUGGAAAUCUCGGUAAAAGGCCCUCUAUAUUUUCCGGUCACUUUUCAUCCAGACACUCAGGGAUCUAAGCUUUGGAGUGUGCUUUCACUUAAUAUGUGUAGGUCCAUGACAAGUAGAUUGGCUGAAUCCAACUCCCCUAUUCUGAAUGUUAGCUCGUUCAGUCAUUGAAUAUAUAACUUGUAUUGGUUGUAUGGGGUUUUGUCCCGAAACUAGAGUCGCAUCCUAGCUUAAUUACCUAGAAAUGCAAAAUGUUUAGUUCGUGUUUAAAUUUCUCCUUGUUUCACUCUCGUAGGCGAAUCAUUUGUGGUUUUGUGCUUGGGAUGUAUUCAUCUCUCUGGUUAGGAAGUUAUCAGGAGCCCAUCCAUAAACUUGAGGAAGUCCAAAGUAUGAUAACUCUGAAAAAGAAAAAAAAAAUCUUCAUUUUGUUACA